GACGAACGCUGGCGGCGUGCUUAACACAUGCAAGUCGAACGGAAAGGCCCCUUUGGGGGUACUCGAGUGGCGAACGGGUGAGUAACACGUGAGUAACCUGCCCUUGACUUCGGGAUAACUUCAGGAAACUGGGGCUAAUACCGGAUAGGAAUCCUUGCUGCAUGGUGGGGGUUGGAAAGCUUCGGCGGUUUUGGAUGGACUCGGGGCUUAUCAGCUUGUUGGUGGGGUAGUGGCUUACCAAGGCUUUGACGGGUAGCCGGCCUGAGAGGGCGACCGGCCACAUUGGGACUGAGAGACGGCCCAGACUCCUACGGGAGGCAGCAGUGGGGAAUAUUGCACAAUGGGCGGAAGCCUGAUGCAGCAACGCCGCGUGCGGGAUGACGGCCUUCGGGUUGUAAACCGCUUUCAGCAGGGGCGAAGCUUGUGGUGACGGUACCUGCAGAAGAAGCACCGGCUAACUACGUG
rnacentral:rRNA from 1 species